UAUGUCUUCCAUUUUACUGAUGGAAAAAUAUCAAAGUUUCAUGAAAAGUUAUAUUUAGGUAUGAACUAUAAAAAAUUGUUUAAUAUUAUCUAUAAAAUUAGCUUAAAAUCCAAUUAUACAAAAAAACCUUAGUUCCUAUCCACUCUACUACUCAAGGGUUUUCAUAAUAACCGAAAGUUUUACCACAAAAGAUUAUAAAAGCAUUUAAAAUACAAUUUUAUACAAUUUUAUUUGUACUUUAAAAUUUAAACAACUUGCUGGGAACAUCCUUAUUGAGGUAAUGUAGUCGUAUUUAUUUGAAACUAAACUUUGAGACAGGCUCACUAUAUUUUUCAAGAGCAAGUAACAAAUGUUAGCUGAAAAUAGCCAACUUAACAAUUAUUUGUAACACAGACUUGAUUAUGUGAGCCUACAGAGCCUCCCCACCUCUGGAUUCCCUGUGGAGGAGGGAGUCUUUGUGUGCUUUUCUGUGUUGGUUCCACUGAAUUCAUUACAAUAGAGAUGGACAUUUGAUAUUCAUAACGAUCCAACAUCUGAGCAAUCUUCUUUCUAGACACACCAUGUUUAUUCCUCUUUUCUAAUUCUUCAGGAUCAAAUUUCCACCAAGUUUCAGGUUCAUGAAACUCUACUGUGUAUCCUUUUCCUAUUGCCAUUUCCACAUACGGUUUCAUUUCCCAAGCUUGUGUAUUAGUGUUGUCUAUUAUAACUGGAGAUGUCCCCUGAUCAAUAGCUUCUUUUGCUCUGCUCUGGUUCCAGUCAUGGGCAUCACCAAGCUGAUUAACAUUAUGCCUGUACCCAUCUUGAUGGUGAAAAUAGUCAUCAGUGCUGAACACAAUGCCAUCACAACUCUGACCAAGCAGAAUUCUAGACAAUGUUGUUUUCCCAGAACCAGGCAGACCUCUUAAUAGAAUAAGUAAUUUCUGCAAUUUAUUUAACUUUUCUUCUUGAAACUGCUGGUUCACAAACCUGUCCAUUCCAUUAUGCUUGUCCACAGGAGGCUCUUUCCAGCUUCUUUCUCUGAUUUCACAUAAACUGUUACUCACAUAUCCAUCUUGCACAUUCUAGGCAUUUCUAGGGGGAUGAACACUACUGCUAUUCUCACUACAGUCAGUAUAUUCAUUGUUCUGAUCAAAAGUCAAACAAUUCCAGUUAACAAGACAACUAUUUACAUCAUACCCAAUUUGAAUAUGAUUGUCUUCUUGAGCAUGGAAAAUACUUGGUGAUGGAUUUGGUGGAGCACUAAAUCUUUGAAUAUUUAAAUGAUAGUUAAAACUGGGAAGAGGAGGACCAUGGGGCACUAUGAAAGGAUGCACUGAUUCCCAUUCAGGCCUGAAGGAAGUAAAUGAAGUAUCACAAAAUGUAGGUAUCACUUGUCCAUCAUAGGUAUAUUUGCCUGGCUUAUUGCCCAAGUACUGUUGAUAACCACAAUGUGACUGAAGAGUACUAUUAAGAUCUUUAGUUGCUUCAUUAGAUCUUAAGACAUCAUUAUUAUAGCCCUCAUAAUAUAGAAGAAGUUGUUCCUGAGAUGGUUCAGAUUCCUUACAACUGACUUCUGAAUUAUCGUUUUCAUUUUCAAGUUCUUCAAUUUCUUUGUAAAACUGUGAUAAUUCAGUGUCAAUCUCUAAUUUUUUGGUGUAAAAUUUCCAUUUCUUUUCUUGUCUUCCUUUGCCAUUUGUAUCAUCGUGAGUGUCUGUCUCAUUCCUUCUUUCAUUACAUUUCUUUUUUUCUGGGGGUUUGUAAAUGGGUCCUAUAAAUGCUUUACUUGUACUAUAUAUUUCAUCAUCUGUUGAUACUAAUGGAGAUUUUCCAUCCUGUAAAAUUUGUGAACCAAUAGAUUCAAUAACAUCUAGUCUAUUACAAGGCAUCUCAUUACGCAAAGGUUUCUGCAAAUCUAUAGUUUGAGUUUUGUCCUCCUGAAGAAAAUCAGCACUGCUACGAUGUGGGAAAAUAUAAGCUUAUGUGCUGACUUCAAUUUUUUAUAGCAUGGUUCAUUUGUUAGUUCUUUUCCAGGUCCCAAGAACCUAGCUUCACUUUCACCACAAGGCAUCUUCUUCUACAGGCUCUACAUGGACCUUUACUUCACCCCAAAAAGAAAUUAUCCUACAAGACACGAAACUCCAUCAAAAUGAAAAAACACUCAAACACCAUCACAAAGCAGAGAGGGAGAAACCAAAAUCCCAGCCGUCAGACUCAGAGGCAAUAACUGCUGCAACCUAGUUUUGAUUCUUGAUACAGACUCAUAUGUCCUAAACCUCUAUUAGCUACUGAAGGAAAUAAAUCUUAUCCAAAUCUUACAUCUGCCUUAGGUAGAAUUAUUCC
rnacentral:lncRNA from 1 species